UCUGAAGGAGAACUGUGGAGGACAACUGUUUUACAAGAUAGACCGCCAUGGAAUAAUUCUGAAAAAUAAGCAUCAAGAUUGGAAGUCAGACGAAUCAGGGAACUAAUUUUUACAGUCAUUAACAGAGAUCCAACCACAAAAAUGUGUGCUCUUGCUUGUUGGAGAGAUGGGGAGAGGAAUGUUUUGGGCUCAUUUAUCUCUCUUUCCCCCGACGAGUUCGAAAUGUCUCAUCCAAAGCUCUGCGGGAUUUUGUGGUCUUACUUUCACGUUUGAAAAAGCAUUUUCACACCAUUCCUGGGUGCUAUCACAAAGAAAGCAGACUUUACCAGUCAAGAAAAUACUAAGAUUUUGAUGGAUGGCAAUUCUAAGAACAAAUUCAGAACAAGAAAUCACCACCACAACGACCCAAAGAUCAAGAUGCAAAUGAAAAGACUUGUAUUGUUGAUUGUUCAGGAGCUUAUUUUCUUUGACUAGGACAGGCUGUUGAAUAUUCUGGAAGCAAUAUCACUGUUUAAAUUAUGGCAGGCUAUCCUAAAAUUUGUUCAGUACAAUCCAUUUUGAUUAAA